CGGUGAUAAUGAGAUUACCCAUUGUGUUCAGUAAUCAUAUCACAUGCAGAGGGGAGGAUUUUGUGUGGGAGUGUCUGGGUGUAUUGUACGGAUUGAUUGGUUGUUUUGUAACGCCUGUGGGCUGUACUAUGUUUGUGGAUUGGGAAUAAAAGAGACUGUAUGUGACAGUACAGAGAGUUCCUGUUUUAACCCUCAAAGUGAAGUGUCGUCUCAUUAUUGGGGGAGGAUUUAUUGUAUGCUGUUCCAGUUUGACUGCUAGGAGUGUAAACCUAUU